UAGGGAAUCUUCGGCAAUGGACGGAAGUCUGACCGAGCAACGCCGCGUGAGUGAAGAAGGUUUUCGGAUCGUAAAGCUCUGUUGUUAGAGAAGAACGUUGGUAGGAGUGGAAAAUCUACCAAGUGACGGUAACUAACCAGUAAGGGACGGCUAACUACGUGCCAGCUGCCGCGGUAAUACGUAGGUCCCGAGCGUUGUCCGGGUUUAUUGGGCGUUAAGCGAGCGCAGGCGGUUCUUUAAGUCUGAAGUUAAAGGCAGUGGCUUAACCAUUGUACGCUUUGGAAACUGGAGGAAUUGAGUGCAGAAGGGGAGAGUGGAAUUCCAUGUGUAGCGGUGAAAUGCGUAGAUAUAUGGAGGAACACCGGUGGCGAAAGCGGCUCUCUGGUCUGUAACUGACGCUGAGGCUCGAAAGCGUGGGGAGCAAACAGG
rnacentral:rRNA from 1 species